UUGUCUUUUAAAUAAAGACCAGUAUGAAUGGCAAGACGAAAGUUCAACUGUCUCCCUAAAUUAAUCAAUGAAAUUGAUUUUCCCGUGCAGAAGCGGGAAUAAAAUUAUAAGACGAGAAGACCCUAUGGAGCUUUAGAUAUAUGAUCAACUGUAUAACAUAAAACCCAAAAGAUAAAAUAUUAAAUUAAACAUAAUGAUCAAAAUCUUAGGUUGGGGCGACCACGGAGAAAAACAAAACCUCCGAGAUGAAAAAAAUAUCUUAACUUAUGAACUACAGUUCUAAAAAAUAAAAUAUUUAACACAAUUGAUCCAACAUGUUGAUCAACGAACUAAGUUACCCUAGGGAUAACAGCGCAAUCCUUUCCAAGAGUCCCUAUCGACGAAUGGGUUUACGACCUCGAUGUUGGAUCAGGACACCCCAAUGGUGUAGCCGCUAUUAAAGGUUCGUUUGUUCAACGAUUAAAGU
rnacentral:rRNA from 1 species